rnacentral:misc_RNA from 1 species
AGAGUUUGUAACACCCGAAGCCGGUGGCGUAACCUUUAGGGAGCGAGCCGUCUAAGGUGGGACAAAUGAUUAGGGUGAAGUCGUAACAAGGUAGCCGUAGGAGAACCUGCGGCUGGAUCACCUCCUUUCUAAGGAAACAGACUGAAAGUCUGACGGAAACCUGCACACACGAAACUUUGUUUAGUUUUGAGGGGACGACCCUCAAGCACCCUAACGGGUGCGACUUUGUUCUUUGAAAACUGGAUAUCAUUGUAUUAAUUGUUUUAAAUUGCCGAGAACACAGCGUAUUUGUAUGAGUUUCUGAAAAAGAAAUUCGCAUCGCAUAACCGCUGACGCAAGUCAGUACAGGUUAAGUUACAAAGGGCGCACGGUGGAUGCCUUGGCACUAGGAGCCGAUGAAGGACGGAACUAAUACCGAUAUGCUUCGGGGAGCUAUAAGUAAGCUUUGAUCCGGAGAUUUCCGAAUGGGGGAACCCAGUACACAUCAGUGUAUUGCUUGUCAGUGAAUACAUAGCUGGCCGGCGGCAGACGCGGGGA